rnacentral:misc_RNA from 1 species
AUAAGCUUGAGCUUGGCUUGUGUAUUAAACAAGCCUAAAAAUUAGGCUUGAGCUUUGACUCAUUUAGAAAAUGAACUGAGCUAAGUCAAGCUUUUAUCGAGCCAAGCCUCAAAUAGCUCGUGAGCAGCUUGGUUCAUUUAUAGCCUUAAUAAAAGGCCAUCACCUAGUUGCAAUCCUGCCAAAGCUGAUUUCUUGAUAGAGUGGAAUUAGUUUUACCUACACAGAAUUUUUGGGGGAUUUUGUGGAUGCAUUGACCACUGGCCAACUAUUUAAUAUAGGGAAAGCUUUACCAUGCACAAAUUGUUUUGUGGAAUAUAACCUCUUUCAUGUGCAAACUGCAAAGGAAUUGCUUAUUGACUGUUGAGCUGCCUAGCGUCAUUAUUAUGCCAAAUCUUACCGUUGUCUUCCCCUUUUAUUGGUAAAAUUAUUAAAGAGACCUGGAUCCUGCCCUUUAAAUAUUUAAGAGGCCAAUAGCAUGCAGCCUCUUCUACUAUUCUCUAGCUGUGCGAAAUAGAUUUCAGUUCUGAGAUCUGGUGUUUUACAUUUUUGCUUUAG